rnacentral:ncRNA from 1 species
UUAGCAGGUGGAAGAGGGUAGCAAUAACAGGUCCGUGAUGCCCUUUAGAUGCUCUGGGCUGCACGCGUGCUACAAUGUUAGGAUCAAUAGGACUGCGAGCCUGAGAGGGUGCGCUACUCUUAUAAUCCCUAACGUAGUUGGGAUUGACGUUUGUAAUCAGCGUCAUGAACCAGGAAUCCCUUGUAAAUGUGUGUCAACAACGCACGUUGAAUACGUCCCUGCCCUUUGUACACACCGCCCGUCGCUCCUACCGAUUGGAUGACUCGGUGAAAUCACCGGAUGCUUACGAGCAGAAAGUGAUUAAAUCACGUUAUCUAGAGGAAGGAGAAGUCGUAACAAGGUAACGGUAGGUGAACCUGCCGUUGGAUCAGUU